rnacentral:rRNA from 1 species
CAGUCGAGCGGACAGAAGGGAGCUUGCUCCCGGACGUUAGCGGCGGACGGGUGAGUAACACGUGGGCAACCUGCCCCUUAGACUGGGAUAACUCCGGGAAACCGGAGCUAAUACCGGAUAAUCCCUUUCUCCACCUGGAGAGAGGGUGAAAGAUGGCUUCGGCUAUCACUAGGGGAUGGGCCCGCGGCGCAUUAGCUAGUUGGUAAGGUAACGGCUUACCAAGGCAACGAUGCGUAGCCGACCUGAGAGGGUGAUCGGCCACACUGGGACUGAGACACGGCCCAGACUCCUACGGGAGGCAGCAGUAGGGAAUCUUCCGCAAUGGACGAAAGUCUGACGGAGCAACGCCGCGUGAGUGAGGAAGGCCUUCGGGUCGUAAAGCUCUGUUGUGAGGGAAGAAGCGGUACCGUUCGAAUAGGGCGGUACCUUGACGGUACCUCACCAGAAAGCCACGGCUAACUACGUGCCAGCAGCCGCGGUAAUACGUAGGUGGCAAGCGUUGUCCGGAAUUAUUGGGCGUAAAGCGCGCGCAGGCGGCUUCUUAAGUCUGAUGUGAAAUCUCGGGGCUCAACCCCGAGCGGCCAUUGGAAACUGGGGAGCUUGAGUGCAGAAGAGGAGAGUGGAAUUCCACGUGUAGCGGUGAAAUGCGUAGAGAUGUGGAGGAACACCAGUGGCGAANGCGACUCUCUGGUCUGUAACUGACGCUGAGGCGCGAAAGCGUGGGGAGCAAACAGGAU